CAGGCCUAACACAUGCAAGUCGAACGGCAGCACGGGAGCAAUCCUGGUGGCGAGUGGCGAACGGGUGAGUAAUACAUCGGAACGUACCCAGUUGUGGGGGAUAGCUCGGCGAAAGCCGGAUUAAUACCGCAUACGACCUGAGGGUGAAAGCGGGGGAUCGCAAGACCUCGCGCAGUUGGAGCGGCCGAUGUCAGAUUAGCUAGUUGGUGGGGUAAAGGCCUACCAAGGCGACGAUCUGUAGCUGGUCUGAGAGGACGACCAGCCACACUGGGACUGAGACACGGCCCAGACUCCUACGGGAGGCAGCAGUGGGGAAUUUUGGACAAUGGGCGCAAGCCUGAUCCAGCCAUGCCGCGUGCGGGAAGAAGGCCUUCGGGUUGUAAACCGCUUUUGUCAGGGAAGAAACGGCCUGUGUUAAUACCACGGGUUAAUGACGGUACCUGGAGAAUAAGCACCGGCUAACUACGUGCCAGCAGCCGCGGUAAU
rnacentral:rRNA from 1 species